GACGAACGCUGGCGGCGUGCUUAACACAUGCAAGUCGAACGGAAAGGCCCUGCUUUUGUGGGGUGCUCGAGUGGCGAACGGGUGAGUAACACGUGAGUAACCUGCCCUUGACUUUGGGAUAACUUCAGGAAACUGGGGCUAAUACCGGAUAGGAGCUCCUGCUGCAUGGUGGGGGUUGGAAAGUUUCGGCGGUUGGGGAUGGACUCGCGGCUUAUCAGCUUGUUGGUGGGGUAGUGGCUUACCAAGGCUUUGACGGGUAGCCGGCCUGAGAGGGUGACCGGCCACAUUGGGACUGAGAUACGGCCCAGACUCCUACGGGAGGCAGCAGUGGGGAAUAUUGCACAAUGGGCGGAAGCCUGAUGCAGCAACGCCGCGUGCGGGAGGACGGCCUUCGGGUUGUAAACCGCUUUCGCUCAUGACGAAGCUUUGUGUGACGGUAGUGGGUAAAGAAGCACCGGCUAACUACGUG
rnacentral:rRNA from 1 species